rnacentral:rRNA from 1 species
GACGUAGGGGGCGAGCGUUGUCCGGAUUCAUUGGGCGUAAAGCGCGUGCAGGCGGCCUGGUAAGUCGGCCGUGAAAGCGCCAGGCUUAACCUGGCGAGGUCGGGCGAGACUGCUAGGCUGGAGGCCGGUAGAGGGCGGUGGAAUUCCGGGUGUAGUGGUGGAAUGCGUAGAGAUCCGGAGGAACACCAGUGGCGAAGGCGGCCGCCUGGGCCGGUCCUGACGCUGAGACGCGAAAGCGUGGGGAGCAAUCCGG